CUGCUCGCUCGGCGGCGCGGGCUGGACCGGGGUGGGGAUUCCUGUCUGGGGCCCCUGGGGCUCCUUUAAGGGCUCCUGGGUAAAUUUAAAGGGGCCGCGCGCAAUUUCCUCCUGCCAGCUCGCGGGGGGCUGGCGCGGGGAAGGCGGGAGGUGGCGAGUCCGCAGUGGGCGCCAGUUACGGACGCGGGGAGCACGGACCUCGGCGCCCUCACGGGCCCGCCCCGCCGCGUCCGCAGCUGCAGCUGCAGCUCAGGCUUGCAAAGAGUCGCCGAGGUGACCAGGGGCGCCCUCGUCCAGUCGGCUACGACGCGCCUCAGCCACCGCCCCCUCGGGGCAUCUCUACGAGCAGCUCUCCGCAGCCGGCCAGCUGGGGACCUCCCGGUGCGCCGGCCCGGAUCCUUCCCCCAGGUGCCUCCUUGUCCUCCCGCGCGAGCUGGGCGCGGGCCCCGAGCGGACGAGCCUGGCAGGGGCCCCAGAUGGCCGCGGCCCCGCGGAGAGGGUGGAGCCGUGGGGGCCGCCGCGACCCCUCCCGCGGGAGCCUGGGGCUAACGCUGGCAGCUCUGGCUUCCACCGGGGAGGGGCGGCGGGGCGAGGCUUCCACCGAGCCGGCCCGGGUGAGGGCGGCGGCCGCGAAAGUGCAAGCCCAGGAGAGGGGCGCGCAGAGCACUGGAGGAGAGCGAGCGCGCUGCGCCUGGCCAGCCGGCGUUACGAAACAACGGAGGUGGCCCCGGGCUGGAAGCCGGAAAGAGAGGGCGACUGCGGCGCUUAGUCUUUGCAGCCAACCCAUGAACCCGGAGCUGGCUGUUAAAAUGAAAAAGCAGAGACUACCAAGAGAAGGCACCAGUCCAAGCCAGGAAUGAUGGCACACACCUUUAAUCCCGGCACUCAGGACGCAAAGAAGGAUCCGAAUGUCCUGUGUGAUUCUUGCUGGCGAGGCAAUAGCGCGGGACAUCUGGUGCCGAAACCCGGGAACUUGUUAACAUCGCCGGCACCGCGGAGACCCCUUGGCUACAAGGCGGAUUCAGAACUGCAAGGUGGUAAAUUCGGAGAGGUAUGUCUUUUCUGGACUUUGGCUUGGGAAUGUUGCUAUUUUGGGAGGUUAGUGUAGAGGCUUCUGUGCUUUUACUAGGAGCCAUUUUGACCUUUCUCACUGUUGUAACAAUCUUAAAGAAGUCCAGAAUUACAUGUCAGAAACCGAAUGUAGUGAGAGAUGGGGCGCGCCCAACAAUAAAAUAUAAGGAAAAAGGACCUCCCGGGAUGUCUAAUGACAAGGGAGUGUGUAUAAAAAGAAAAACAGCAACAAAUAAGAAAAAAGGACCUCCCGGGAUGUCUAAUGACAAGGGAGUGAGUAAUUUGUUAGAUGAUUCUAUAAAUAAGUUUAAAGCUUUAAAUCUUGAUAGCUCUGAUGACUCUAAAAGCUCAAGAGAUAAAGUUUUAGAGGAAACAGCUCAGCUAGGUGAAAAAGAAACAAAAAAGGAGGGAGAGAAAAUAGGGGAUAACCGGUCACACCCCGGUAAAUUUAAGAGACCUGUUAAUCCAGCGGGUGUACUUCCAUCAACACCCCCAUUAUUUGGUACCAACUCCUUUUUACCAUUAGAGGAGCGGAGGAAAUUACAGAUGGCUUUCCCAGUCUUUGAUAGGGGAAAAGGCCAUGCAUGUUAUUCAACACUUCUUGGAGGCCUGGAAUGCCUGGGGCUUUAAAGCCUCAUAAACAUUGACGCUCGGGGCCAUACCGCGGCCAAGCGUCACACCUCAAAACCUGAAAGGCCAAAGGAAAUGGUAAAAUGGAAAGAUAUCUUAACUGGUCUUUGGAGAGGCCCGGAUCCUAUUCUCAUAAGAUCCAGGGGAGCUAUGUGUUUUUCCACAGGAUGAAGAGAAUCCCCUCUGGAUCCCGGAAAGACUCACCCGAAGAGCCCCUUCGGACCUUCAAAAGUCGAAACUCCACCCUCUCCCCGGGAGUUGAGAGCCCCUAUUAUCCAGAUUAACUCCUGUCCUUGACGGAGAGAUUGUCAUCGCUUAAUGGGUGGGGAUGGGAUUGUUUGGUGCAGCCGUUUGCUGCGGAUUGGUGUUACUUCUCUGGCUGGUCUGUAGGCUCAAGGCUCAAACUAAGAGAGACAAGAUGGUUAUCGCCCAAGCGCUUGUAGCUUUAAAACAAGGGGCUUCCACUGAUAUUUGGCUAACUAUGCUUAAGCAAUAGGCCGCCGGCCAGACAGCUCUUGCACACCCGGAGCCUAGGCUCAUUGCACAGGGUAGAGUGUCUGGUUUGAGCAGCCCAUGAGGGAUGUUGAGCAAGGCAUCGCACAGAGAGUUGCCCAGUAUGCAGGCUUCUCUGGGAGGCAUGUUGUCCUGCAUAAGGGUUGCCUGCCCUAGUCUCCCUUUCCCAGAAAAAUGGCAGAGGACAGGUCGAGAGCACUUCGGGUCAAGCUAACAGCCUGAUGGCGACUCUUGUACACAGUCUUAAUGUUUGAUUGGGAAGGUACAACCUCUGCCUCUAUCCCUCAACAUAUGGGUGACCUAUUUGCUUGUAAAAAUAUAAAGCCUUAUCAUUAAUUAAUAAAAAAGGGGGAUAUGUAGGGAGCCGUCCCUGCAUUCUCCAUUACAAUGAUGGUGCCUGCAGGCACUGAAUGUAAAUUAUUUCGCAGGCGCUGGGUAAUUUUCCAUUUCUUUGAUCUCUGCCUAUCCCGUGGCUCAUAUGGCCUGAGGAGCUGAAGCCAUUCAUAGGGUGACACGUCCCAGGCGGGGCUGCCAGCCUUUAUUAGGGGACGGGAUUCUUGGCUCAGGGUCUCCGCUCUGGUAAGCCUAUGCUCUCCUCUCUCAAGAUGCAUUAAAGCUUUCCUGCAGAAGGAUCCGAAUGUCCUGUGUGAUUCUUGCUGGCGAGGCGAUAGCGCGGGACAGCCUGCAAGUGUGCACCACAUGCAUACAGAGCCCUUAGAGGCCAGGAAAGGGCACCAGAACCCUGGAAUUGGAGUUUCAAAGACUAUAGUCACCAUAUGGGUGCUGGGAACCAAACAAAACCUAGGUUUUCUGCAAGAGCAGCAAGUACUCUGUCUUUGUUUGUUGUUUUGG
rnacentral:lncRNA from 1 species